rnacentral:rRNA from 1 species
GCGGCGGACGGGUGAGUAACACGUGGGUAACCUGCCUGUAAGACUGGGAUAACUCCGGGAAACCGGGGCUAAUACCGGAUAGUUCUUUUUCCUCGCAUGAGGAAAAGUGGAAAGGCGGCUUCGGCUGCCACUUACAGAUGGACCCGCGGCGCAUUAGCUAGUUGGUGAGGUAACGGCUCACCAAGGCAACGAUGCGUAGCCGACCUGAGAGGGUGAUCGGCCACACUGGGACUGAGACACGGCCCAGACUCCUACGGGAGGCAGCAGUAGGGAAUCUUCCGCAAUGGACGAAAGUCUGACGGAGCAACGCCGCGUGAGUGAUGAAGGUUUUCGGAUCGUAAAGCUCUGUUGUUAGGGAAGAACAAGUGCCGUUCGAAUAGGGCGGCACCUUGACGGUACCUAACCAGAAAGCCACGGCUAACUACGUGCCAGCAGCCGCGGUAAUACGUAGGUGGCAAGCGUUGUCCGGAAUUAUUGGGCGUAAAGCGCGCGCAGGCGGUCUCUUAAGUCUGAUGUGAAAGCCCACGGCUCAACCGUGGAGGGUCAUUGGAAA